rnacentral:lncRNA from 1 species
GCCCCUCGCGUUGGCCGCGGCGCCAUUGUGCUCGGGAGGAGCGUUUCCCCCUGGCAACCAGGGCUCGCAGGGCCUCCCGUGCGCUGCCCAGCGCCAGGUUUUGCUGACCCCGGAUCAGAGGACGUAGGCGGAGCGGGCUUGUUGGCCGCGUGCGUCAGGGCGUGAGGGGAGAGGCGGCUGCUCUUUCCCGGAGGCCUCCGGCUGCAGGGUGUAGGGUGGGCCUCCUCCCUCCCCCACUCGCGCCGUUUGCCCUUUUUAUCGCCUUGCUGCUUUCGUCCCGGUCAAUAGUUUUCUUGACUGUGUAAUGUGUGCUGGACGGUAUUCUAGGUGCUGUGGGGGGGUAACAGAGUGGAUCUGAUAAGGACCCUCGCCCAGUAUCGUAGGUGUUUUAGGCGUAGGGAAGAAGAGAUAUAAUACGAGGUGGAAAGUGCUAGAAGCCUUUAGAAAGCUAUCUGAUUGGUGCGAUGGCAACUGAGGAAAAGCAAGAGUCAGUCCACCCUUCGGGCACACGACACUGUGCUGAGACUGCAGGCCCUCAGGGCAAUUUUGAAAACUCAAACUUCGUUGAGCAGUGGUGUCCAGCCUUUGAGAGGACUCCUUUAUUCUGAAAGAUGUCCACAACUGUUUUCUCGUAUCCAGUUCUCGCCCCCUGCCUAGAUACCAGCCUGCACCUAUGGCCUCAUAGGAAGUUCCCUGUGAUCAGUUGACAGAGGAUGAGAAAACUUGGGCCUGGUUUACUGAUGGUUCUUCAGGACAUGCAGGCUCCACCUAAAAGUGGACAGCUGUAGUACUAUAGAUCCUUUCUGGGACAUUCCUGAAGGAUAAUGGUAAAAGGAAAUCCUCCCAGUGGGCAGAACUUCAAGCAAUGCAACUGGUUUUUCAUUUUGCUUAGAAAGAGAAAAGGCCUGAUGAGUGAUUAUAUGCCAGUUCAUGGGCUAUGGCCAGUGCUUUGGCUGGAUGGUCAUGGACUUGGAAGAAACAAGAUUAGAAAAUUGGUGACAAGGAAGUCUUGGAAAGAGAUACAUGGAUUGACCUCUCUGAAUGGGUGAACAACGUGAAGAUAUUUGUGUCCCAUGUGAAUGCUCACCAAAGGGCGACCUCAGCAGAGGAAGAUUUUCGUAAGUGGCUAGAAUAAUUCAUUCUGUGGAUACCAGUUGGCCUCCUUCCCUAGCCAUCCCUGUCAUUGCCCAGUGAAGUUAUGAAAAAAGUGGCCCUGGGGGCAGGGAUGGAGGUUAUGCAUGGGAUCAGCAACAUGGGCUUCCAUUCACCAAGGCUAACUUGACUACCCCCACCGCUGAGUGCUCAAUCACAGCACUGAGAUUGAGUGAUACGACACUCAGUCCCUGAUAUGACACCAUUCUCUGGGGUGAUCAGCCAGCUACGUGGUGGUAGGUUGAUUACACUGCACCGUACGUCUGUCAUGGAAGGGGCAACGUUUUGUUAUUGGAAUAGACACUCUGGAUAUGGAUUUGCUUUCCCUGCAUACAAUGUUCUGCCAAAACUACCAUCCGUGGACUUAGAGAAUGCCUUAUCCACCAUCAUGGUAUUCCACACAGCAUUGCUUCUGUUCAAAGAACUCAUUUGCUAGCAAAGGAAGUGCAGCAAUGGGCCCAUGCUCAUGGAAUUCACUGAUGUUACCAUGUUCCCCACCCUCCUGAAGCAGCUUGAUAGAAUGGCAGAAUGGCUUUUCGAAGACUCAGUUAUUGGGCUAGCUAGGUGGCAGUCCCUUGCAGGGCUGGGAAAAAGUUCUCCAGGAGGCUUACAUGCUCUGAAUCAAUGUCCAAUAUACGGUGCUGUUGCUCCCACAGCCAGGAUUCACAGGUAUCUAGGAGUAGAAAUGAGAGUGGCACCCCUAGUGACCCACUAGUAAAAAUUUCGCUACCUGUCCUCAUGACCUUAUGUUCUACUAGCCUACAGGUCUUUGUUCCAAAGGGAGAAAUGCUUCUACUAGGAGACACAAUAAUAAUUCCAUGGAACUGGAAAUUAAUACUGCCACUCAGCCACUUUGAGCUCCUCAUGCCUCUGGGUCAACAGGGAAAGAAGAGUUUUACUGGGCUGACUGGGGUGAUUGAUCCUGACUACCAGAGGGAAAUUGAGGCAUUCCCUGGCACCCAGUGGUUAAGACUCAGCGUUUUCACUGCAGGGCCCCACGUUCGAUCCCUGGUUAGGGAACUGGGAUGCUGCAAGCUGCACGGUGCAGACAAAAACAGCAACAACAACAACAAAACAAACAAAAAAAAAACAAAGGGAAAUUGGACUACUCCUCCACAACACAGAUAUGUCUGGGAUACAAGAGAUCCCACAGGGUGUCUCUUAGUAUUACCAUGCCUGUGAUUAAAGUCAGUGGAAAACUAUAACAACUCAAUUUAGGCAGGAUUACUAAUGGCCCAGGACCCUUCAGGCAUGAAGAUUUGGGCCACUCCAACAAAUAAAAAACUGUGACUUGCUGAAGUGCUUGCUGAGGGCAACAGGAACACCGUAUGGGAGUAGAAGAAGGUAGUUCUAAAUACCAUCAGCAACCACACGACCAGUUACAGAAACGAGGACUGUAUUUGUCAAGUAUUUUUUCCUUAUGUUAUUAUUAAUACAUGUGCGUGUGUCUUGAGCAAAUAUCUUUGUUUUCUUCUCUCUCUUAUUCCUUUAUCAUGUAACAUAAUCAUGUAACAUUAUUGACUUUAUGUCAUAGUAUUUAUUGUUAACUUUAUAGCAUAGUUUUUAAGUUAUGGGAUAUCAGGAAGAAGAAUAAACAUCACCCAAGGACUUUGCAUCCUCUUCUGGGGAAAGGGUUAGGGUGUUUUCAGUUGUCUAUGCAGGAGAGUUGUAUCAUGUUAGGCAAAAUUAUGACCUCGUUACUGUCUUUAUUCGAUUAUUAAAUUUGAGGAGAUGCAUACGAGUGCCAACUAGACAAGGGGUGGACUUGUGAUGGUUAUGUGUUAACCUGACUGGGCCACAGUACACAGAUACAUGGACAAACAUUAUUCUGGAUGUUUCUGUGAAGGUGUGUUUUGGAUACGAUUAACACUUAACUCAGUGGACUUUGAGUAAAGCAGAUUAUGCUGU